GAUGAACGCUGGCGGCGUGCCUAAUACAUGCAAGUCGAGCGAACGGACGAGAAGCUUGCUUCUCUGAUGUUAGCGGCGGACGGGUGAGUAACACGUGGAUAACCUACCUAUAAGACUGGGAUAACUUCGGGAAACCGGAGCUAAUACCGGAUAAUAUUUUGAACCGCAUGGUUCAAAAGUGAAAGACGGUCUUGCUGUCACUUAUAGAUGGAUCCGCGCUGCAUUAGCUAGUUGGUAAGGUAACGGCUUACCAAGGCAACGGUGCAUAGCCGACCUGAGAGGGUGAUCGGCCACACUGGAACUGAGACACGGUCCAGACUCCUACGGGAGGCAGCAGUAGGGAAUCUUCCGCAAUGGGCGAAAGCCUGACGGAGCAACGCCGCGUGAGUGAUGAAGGUCUUCGGAUCGUAAAACUCUGUUAUUAGGGAAGAACAUAUGUGUAAGUAACUGUGCACAUCUUGACGGUACCUAAUCAGAAAGCCACGGCUAACUACGUGCCAGCAGCCGCGGUAAUACGUAGGUGGCAAGCGUUAUCCGGAAUUAUUGGGCGUAAAGCGCGCGUAGGCGGUUUUUUAAGUCUGAUGUGAAAGCCCACGGCUCAACCGUGGAGGGUCAUUGGAAACUGGAAAACUUGAGUGCAGAAGAGGAAAGUGGAAUUCCAUGUGUAGCGGUGAGAUGCGCAGAGAUAUGGAGGAACACCAGUGGCGAAGGCGACUUUCUGGUCUGUAACUGACGCUGAUGUGCGAAAGCGUGGGGAUCAAACAGGAUUAGAUACCCUGGUAGUCCACGCCGUAAACGAUGAGUGCUAAGUGUUAGGGGGUUUCCGCCCCUUAGUGCUGCAGCUAACGCAUUAAGCACUCCGCCUGGGGAGUACGACCGCAAGGUUGAAACUCAAAGGAAUUGACGGGGACCCGCACAAGCGGUGGAGCAUGUGGUUUAAUUCGAAGCAACGCGAAGAACCUUACCAAAUCUUGACAUCCUUUGACAACUCUAGAGAUAGAGCUUUCCCCUUCGGGGGACAAAGUGACAGGUGGUGCAUGGUUGUCGUCAGCUCGUGUCGCGAGAUGUUGGGUUAAGUCCCGCAACGAGCGCAACCCUUAAGCUUAGUUGCCAUCAUUAAGUUGGGCACUCUAAGUUGACUGCCGGUGACAAACCGGAGGAAGGUGGGGAUGACGUCAAAUCAUCAUGCCCCUUAUGAUUUGGGCUACACACGUGCUACAAUGGACAAUACAAAGGGCAGCGAAACCGCGAGGUCAAGCAAAUCCCAUAAAGUUGUUCUCAGUUCGGAUUGUAGUCUGCAACUCGACUACAUGAAGCUGGAAUCGCUAGUAAUCGUAGAUCAGCAUGCUACGGUGAAUACGUUCCCGGGUCU
rnacentral:rRNA from 1 species